UACGUAGGGUGCAAGCGUUAAUCGGAAUUACUGGGCGUAAAGCGUGCGCAGGCGGUGAUGUAAGACAGUUGUGAAAUCCCCGGGCUCAACCUGGGAACUGCACCUGUGACUGCAUCGCUGGAGUACGGUAGAGGGGGAUGGAAUUCCGCGUGUAGCAGUGAAAUGCGUAGAUAUGCGGAGGAACACCGAUGGCGAAGGCAAUCCCCUGGACCUGUACUGACGCUCAUGCACGAAAGCGUGGGGAGCAAACAGG
rnacentral:rRNA from 1 species